UACAGAGGGUGCAAGCGUUGCUCGGAAUUAUUGGGCGUAAAGGGUAGGUAGGUGGUCUCGUUUGUCAGAGGUGAAAGCCUUAGGCUUAACCUGAGAAGUGCCUCUGAAACGGCGAGACUAGAGUGCUGGAGAGGGUCGUGGAAUUCCCGGUGUAGAGGUGAAAUUCGUAGAUAUCGGGAGGAACACCAGUGGCGAAGGCGGCGACCUGGGCCAAUACUGACGCUGAGGUGCGAAAGCGUGGGGAGCAAACAGG
rnacentral:rRNA from 1 species